CUACGGGCCGCUCCAGUGAGGAAUAUUGCACAAUGGGGGGAACCCUGAUGCAGCAACGCCGCGUGGAGGAUGACGCAUUUCGGUGUGUAAACUCCUUUUAUAUGUCAAGAAAAUGACGGUAGCAUAUGAAUAAGCACCGGCUAACUCCGUGCCAGCAGCCGCGGUAAUACGGGGGUGCAAGCGUUACUCGGAAUCACUGGGCGUAAAGGACGCGUAGGAGGGUUGGAAAGUCAGGUGUGAAAUCCUACAGCUUAACUGUAGAACUGCACUUGAAACUUCUAAUCUAGAGUAUGGGAGGGGGAGAUGGAAUUAGUGGUGUAGGGGUAAAAUCCGUAGAUAUCACUAGGAAUACCUAAAGCGAAGGCGAUCUCCUGGAACAUUACUGACGCUAAGGCGUGAAAGCGUGGGGAGCAAACAGGAUUAGAUACCCUAGUAGUC
rnacentral:rRNA from 1 species